rnacentral:rRNA from 1 species
GACGAACGCUGGCGGCGUGCUUAACACAUGCAAGUCGAACGGAAAGGCCCUGCUUUUGUGGGGUGCUCGAGUGGCGAACGGGUGAGUAACACGUGAGUAACCUGCCCUUGUCUUUGGGAUAACUUCAGGAAACUGGGGCUAAUACCGGAUAGGAGCUCCUGCUGCAUGGUGGGGGUUGGAAAGUUUCGGCGGUUGGGGAUGGACUGGCGGCUUAUCAGCUUGUUGGUGGGGUAGUGGCUUACCAAGGCUUUGACGGGUAGCCGGCCUGAGAGGGUGACCGGCCACAUGGGGACUGCGAGACGGCCCAGACUCCUACGGGAGGCAGCAGUGGGGAAUAUUGCACAAUGGGCCGAAGCCUGAUGCAGCAACGCCGCGUGCGGGAUGACGGCCUUCGGGUUGUAAACCGCUUUCGCCUGUGACGAAGCGUGAGUGACGGUAAUGGGUAAAGAAGCACCGGCUAACUACGUG